GACGAACGCUGGCGGCGUGCUUAACACAUGCAAGUCGAACGGAAAGGCCCUGCUUUUGUGGGGUGCUCGAGUGGCGAACGGGUGAGUAACACGUGAGUAACCUGCCCUUGACUUUGGGAUAACUUCAGGAAACUGGGGCUAAUACCGGAUAGGAGCUCCUGCUGCAUGGUGGGGGUUGGAAAGUUUCGGCGGUUGGGGAUGGACUCGCGGCUUAUCAGCUUGUUGGUGGGGUAGUGGCUUACCAAGGCUUUGACGGGUAGCCGGCCUGAGAGGGUUACCGGCCACAUUGGGACUGGGAUACGGCCCAGACUCCUACGGGAGGCAGCAGUGGGGAAUAUUGCACAAUGGGCGGAAGCCUGAUGCAGCAACGCCGCGUGCUGGAUGACGGCCUUCGGGUUGUAAACCGCUUUCGCCUGUGACGAAGCGUGAGUGACGGUAAUGUGUAAAGAAGCACCGGCUAACUACGUG
rnacentral:rRNA from 1 species